AUUGAACGCUGGCGGCAGGCCUAACACAUGCAAGUCGAACGGUAACAGGAAGCAGCUUGCUGCUUCGCUGACGAGUGGCGGACGGGUGAGUAAUGUCUGGGAAACUGCCUGAUGGAGGGGGAUAACUACUGGAAACGGUAGCUAGUACCGCAUAACGUCGCAAGACCAAAGAGGGGGACCUUAGGGCCUCUUGCCAUCGGAUGUGCCCAGAUGGGAUUAGCUAGUAGGUGGGGUAACGGCUCACCUAGGCGACGAUCCCUAGCUGGUCUGAGAGGAUGACCAGCCACACUGGAACUGAGACACGGUCCAGACUCCUACGGGAGGCAGCAGUGGGGAAUAUUGCACAAUGGGCGCAAGCCUGAUGCAGCCAUGCCGCGUGUAUGAAGAAGGCCUUCGGGUUGUAAAGUACUUUCAGCGGGGAGGAAGGGAGUAAAGUUAAUACCUUUGCUCAUUGACGUUACCCGCAGAAGAAGCACCGGCUAACUCCGUG
rnacentral:rRNA from 1 species